AAGUCGCCAACAGCUCCAGCAAGCAUCAUGUGCUCUGUUUUACCAUCAGAAAUGAUGCCGAAGGCAUGCCACUCGGACAAAGGGAAUGGACUAAUCCUUCCCAAUAUACCCGCUUUCACUCCUCCCUCGAACUUGAUAACGGAAGCAUGGCCUGAAGGCGCACUGACUUUGACUGGUACUCGUCUCACUGUCACCCAUGGAAUAAUUAUAAGUGCGGUGAUGGCUAAUGUAGACCAGAACUCCUGUCGUUUCAUCAGCCUAGAGCCGAGUUGAUUGCUGUAGGACUUUGACUUCGGAUCGUAAGAGAUUGUGAGGAGGACAAAGGCCCAGAGGAGGGCUAGAGCUGUCCAUCCAGCAAAACGAUGAGUCCUUUCGAAUACAUUGUGAUGGAGAUGGCGGACAAGAGGGAAGGCUGCCAAAGAAGAGAGGCAGAGAAGAGCAAGAAUGGUGGAGGCCACGCCUAUGAUCUCGGGGGAAGUGUUUUCUCUGUCCUGAAGUGUGAGUACCAGGGCAUAUACGAGCCAUGCUACGGAAGAGACCCCGCAGCCGCUAUGUAUCCCACCAAGAGAUUGGAGGAGGGAUGUGGUAGCAGUCUUGAGUCCGAGAGGCACCCACGACUGUCCCAAGACCUUCACCGCAAGCCAGAAGACGACUCGCAAGAAGGCCUCGCUGCGACACAGUGUCAAAGCAAGAAUGUUCCCAAUGGAGAAGAGAGCAGCUUUACGCCUUGCAUAUGGGAAAUGCCCGGUGGCUGAAAGAACCAAACCAAUAAUGUUCAGGAUCAGGCAAACCAUGAACAGCUGUUUGUAGACUGUGAACAGCCCUUGAUCCAGCAAUAUAAUCGAAAGUCUCGACUCUUGCUGUCUCGCAACUUUUGCUGGUUGUUCACGUUUACUAGUGAAUGAAACUGGAACUAACUUCUGCUCCUUCUCCUCAUGAAUAUUGCCUUCUUCCACGUCCUUCAAAUCAUCCUCAAAAUCAUUUUCAUCUAUAUCAAGAUCACAGAAAUGGCUGCUCCUUCUGCUCAUACUCCUUCCCAAGGAAUCCGACGAGCGUACUCUAAAAGGGCUAUCCUGAUUCCAAGGAAGCCAAAACCUGUUGCUGCCAGAGCGACCAUCUACCACCACAGAAGUUGGGACGGCGAAUGAGUCUGAAUGAGGUUUAAUCUCAAAAGCCACGCCUCUGUAGCUUGAAAUCCUCGCAACCUUUUCUGGGCUUUUCAUAGUUGUCUUCUUAGGAGCAAACAACUAUGUCACAAAGUAAAGCGAGGGAAAGAGAGAUUCAGCGAGAAGGCUUGUGCCCAUGGCAAGUGUGGCUUGGCUUUAUAAGCCUCCACAAAAAGAAUUGUUGACUUAAUCUCAAUAGCAAUGUGAUUCACUUCAUAUUAGAGAGAAAAAAAAAAUGCGAUUGGUUAUUUGUAGCAAGUGAAAGAAUAUAAAAGGACAAAGAAUAUAAAGGAACACGUAAUGACAGAUAGGACACAUAAUGGCAUGAGGGAGGUGCACAGAAUCACACACAUGAUGAAUAGCCCAUCCGAUAAAUAUUUUCAUAAAUGAAAAGUAACUAAGGGAAAGUAUAAAUGAGAAUAUAGGACACAAUGACAGAAAAAGAUGCUCGUAAUCAGGUCUAUAAUGAUAAGAACCUAUCCAAUUAAUACUUCCAUAAAUAAAAGGUAAUAAAAUAUUUUAAGAAAAAAAUUAAAUAAAUAAAAGAGGGACAUAAAAUGAUAGGUCAUCGAAUAACAAAACACAGAAUUGUAGGACAUCGAAUGAGAGGAUAUAAGACAUAGAAUGGUGUAUAUAGAUUCUAAAAAUGAUAUGCACAAAACCACAUACAUAAUUAUAAGAAUCAACUCCAAUCAAUAUUUCCAUAAAUUAAGAAUAAUUAGAUAUUAAUGAUAUUUAAUUCUCUUAAUUUAAAAAAUAAUAUUUAUUUUCCUUAAUUUUAAAAUAUUUAUUAUUCUUUUAUAUAUAUAUAUAUAUAUAUAUAUAUAUAUAUAUAUAUAAUUCACAAUACAUUCUUGUAUAAUUUUUUUAAAGUAAUAAUAAAUGCAUAUAACUUUAAUUACCAAAUUAUCAAACUCUUCAUGGUAUUAGAGUUUGGGGAGGAGGUUCGAAUUCAUGCCUUCUCCAAAAGUGGGGUCGACAAUCAUAAAAAGUUCAACCUGCUCUUACAAAUUAUGUCUUCCUAAAAAAUAAUAAUAAUCAUCCUUUUUGUUAUAGUUUUCCUUCAAUGUUCUUUCUACUUUGAUUUCAAUCCGGCUAAACACCACAAAUCUUCUAUUAUUGCGAAACCAAAUCAUCCUCUUAGUUUGUAGUGUUGAUGUUCUCCAACAUCUCUUAGGUGGAAAAAAAACUUACCGAAGAAAUUCAUGAUGAUGAGAGAAUAAAAAAUCCUAUCUUGUAAUACCAAUUAUGGAUCAACAAUUGAUGAAUUAAUUUGUCAUUUCAUUAGUUAUUGGAACUAUAAAAUAAAAAAAUAAAAAAAAUCAUUUUUAAUAUGAUCUUUGGUAUUAACACGAUUAUGAGGUAUGAACUUCUCUUUAAAAACACUCUCCAGUGUAUUUUAAAAAUAAAAUUUGAAAAGUAUGCUGAUGACUCCCAAAAAUAAAAUAAAAAAUAAAAAACUCAAUCAUGAUCUUUUGAAGAAUAUUUAAGAGACUUCAAAAUAUAUGUAAUAAUCUCGUAACAAUGAAAAAUCAAUUUUAGACCAAGACAAAAUUGUCAAUUCGCUUAUGACUAUGGAUAAAAGUAAGAUUUUUUUUCCCCUUUAGAAUACUCUUUUAGCCAAUUCAUAGUAGUUCUUCAGUGGCAUAAACAAUCACUUACUACCUAAACGGAGAAAAGAAAAUGUUCUUAGAGCAUGUACAAGUUUUUGUUUAGACAAUACAAUCAUGGUCAGGAUGGUUAAGAAAGUAGAAAUUUCAAUUUGAGGAGCUAGACAAGGUUUCACUCUUCUUAUGUAUCGCAAUUCUAAAGUAAUAAUAAUAAUUUGAUAUUUUUAUCAAGUAUCUAUCAAAAGAUGUCUUUAUCAUAUUUUUGAGACAACCUAUGUAACGCCCGAGUUUUUUUUAGGGGUAAUUUAGGAAAAUAUUAAUAAUAAUUUAAUUAAUUAAUUAAUUAAUUAAUUAAUUAAUUAAUUAAUUAAUUAAAAUGAAAGAGGGGUAAAAAUGUAAUUUUUCAAAUAAAUACCCUAGGUAUAAAUUAGAAAUUCUAUUCUUCCUAUUCUUUUUUAAUAACAUUUCUGUUCACAAAAAUUCUAGAGAACUUAAAGUUGGAGUCAGAUUUCAGGGUUUGAAUAACAGAUCUCUAUAGGUAAGAUUCUAACCCCUAAAUUAAUAUCUUGGAUUCAUUAAUUAAUUUCAAACACAUUAGAUAUUUUUUGGAAAAUCCAAAUUUAGAUUAGGGUUAAUUUUUUUUUUCUUUAAUUCGUUUUAAUAUCAAAAUAUUGAAAAUUUAAGAUUUUGAUUUAUUGUUGGAAAUUGGGAAAUCUUAAGUUUUUAGAUGAAAAAAAAAAAGAUUAUUUGAAAUAUUUCGAUUUUAGGCUAGGGUUAAUUUAUUUAAAAAAAUUAUAGGUCAAAAUAUUGAAAUUAGGAAUAUAGGUUGUUCUAUUGAUAAAAAUAGGAAAAUUCAAAAUUUAUUAGAUGAAUAUAUUUAAGUAAUGAAAUUAGAAAAAAAAAAUGAAAAGUAAUGCGUGUGCACUGGAGGAAGUAUUUAAAAAAAAAAAAAAAAAAAAAAAAAAAUGAAAAGGAACACAUGUGCACUGGAGGAAGUUUUUUUAAAAAAAAGAAAAAAAAAAUGAAAAGGAACACGUGUGCACUAGAAGAUAGAAGAAUGGUGAGAAAAAAUAAAAAGUUGUGUGGGAAUUGGAAGAUAGAGGAAUAAGGAAAAUAAUAACAUUAAUAAUAAUAAAAGACAUGCAUGUGGAUGUGAGUGGGUGGAUGAAAAUAAUAAUAUUAAUAAUAAUAAGAGGCAUGUUCGUGGAGUAUGUGAGUGGGUGGAUGAUAUGUACAUAUUUAUAUAUAUUACAAUGAUAAUUGUGUGAGUGUUAUGGUAGUUGUGUUUGAAAAAUAUGAAAGUGGUAGAAUAAACUAUAUAUAAAUAAAUAAGGUGAAGUAUAAAUUAGUUAAAUUUAUUGUAUUAUAAUUAGAUUAAUGAUAAAUAUUAAGUUAAUAAGUAGCAUAAAACACCUAUGGAAAUGUGAUUAGACAGUCCUUGUGAUUACAGUAACUUAAGGACUUUUGGAUGCAUUGCCCGUGCUCACCAAAAUGAGGUAAACUAAAGCCUUGAGUUAGGAAGAGUAUAUUUUUUUGGUUAUUCAAACGGAGUGAAAGGGUAUAAGCUUUGGUGUCCUACCACUAAGAAAUUCUUUAUAAGCAAGGAUAUGGUCUUUAGAGAGUACGAAUUUCUAAAGGAUGACAGAGAAGUUUCCAUUAGUGAAGAAAAUGAAGAAGUCAAGGAUAAGGUAGAGUUUCAUGUGGAAUUAGAAGAUAAUUGGAGGUGUGCACAAUCACAUUGAGAUUGAAUAAUUGGAGGAUUUCCUUGGAUGCAUGGUGGGAUGGAUACAUUGAAAGGUAGGCGUGAACGUUUUGGGAAGAGUCCUCAUUAAGGGAAGUGAGAUCAUGGCUUCAAAUAGGAAUCUGGACUGCAUAUAGAUAGAGGAGAUCACGGCUGAAUGGAGGGUGGGAAAAGGAGAUUUAUAUUGUUAAAAAUAAAAAGAAAGGAAUGGCCACUUUGUGCACAGCUGUAAGAGGGAUUUCUUUAUUUUUUUAAGAAGGAAAAGUCAACAUGCUUGAUCACUUACCAAAUAGAACACGGAUGCAUCUUAGAGAAGUCUCCAAAGUGAGCCACAUGCAUACACUUUCUAUAUCCAUUAAGAAAAAGGAAACAAGAUAUUCCAUAAAAAAAAAGUGGGCAGUCAUAUAAAAGAGGAGAACAGAGCAACGGGCAAGGGGGGGUUUUUUUUUUUUAUCAUUAUUUUUGGAGAGAACACGCAAGGAAGGAAGAAACAGAUUUUUUUGAAGGAGGAAUUUUUUGGCAAGGAGAACACGGAAUAGGGAUUUUUUUUUAGAGAAUACGCAAGAGAGAAUUUUCCAAGCAAAAGAGGACACGUAAUAUUCUUUUUUAAAAGAGAGAGGAACAGAGAAUUUUCUAAGAUGAGCCACUUUAACGCAUCAAAAACGGAUUUUUCUUUAUAACACAGGUUAGUUUUUGAAAGAGUUUUCAUUUUUUUUAUUAGAUAUCUUUUUUUUUUCUUUUUUUAAUUCUAAUUUAAUUUAGUAUUAAUUUAUUUGUUAGUUUAGCUUGAAUGAGUUUGUGUGUUUAAUUUUGAUUCAUUAUAUUAGAAAAAAGAAUGAUUUGAUCCCUAUUUAAUUUUGAUUGAUUGCAUCAGAUUGAAAACAUUUGAGUUUUAUUUAUUCAUUUAUUCAUGCAUUUGCUACUCUUUUAAUUGUUUGUAUUUCAUUUAUUUAUUUAUUGAUAAAGUUGAUCUCAUAUUUGAAAGUUCAUGUUUUUAGUAUUCUUUGAUUUAAUGUGAUUCAUUUUAAUUAGUUUAGAUACUUUUAUAAUUUUAGUUCAUUAAUAAAAUUGAUUCUAUAUUUAAAAGUUCAUAUCUUUAGUUUAUUUUUUAUUUAGUUUAAUUCAUCUAUUUAGUUCAAAUACAUUUAUAGUUUUAGUUCAUUGAUAAAAUUGAUUCUAUGUUUGAAAGUUUUCGUUUUUAGGUUGCUUUAAUUUAAUUUGAUUCAUUAUAGUUAAUUUAGAUUUUUAUUUGUAGUUUAGUUCAUUAAUAAAAUUGAUCCCAUGUUUGAAAGUUUCAGUUUUUUUUAGUUUGCUUUGAUUUAAUAAUUUAUAUUCAGUAUUUUAGGUGUUUUUAUAGUUUUAGUUUAUUAAUAAAAUUGAUUUCAUAUUUGGAAGUUCAUAUUUUUAGUAUUCUUUGAUUUAAUUUGGUUCUUUUUAAUUAGUUUAUGUGUUUUUAUAGUUUUAUUUAUUUAUUGAUAAAAUUGAUUCUUUAUUUAAAAGUUCAUGUUUUUAGUAUACUUUGAAGGUGGAAGCUUUGCCUGAAGGAGUUGCCCAGAUGGAGAGGGGUGCCUUGGGCUGUGAAGGAGCUUGUGUUGGUGACGGGCUUGGUGCUGCCCAUGAUGGCUUUGGGCUUGGGUUUGAAUUUGGAGCCCAGGCCCAAACCUAUGCUGAAGAUGGAGCCCAAGGCUCUAUUUAAUAAAUGGAUGUGGGCUUAGGCUUAUGGGCUUAGGCUUAUGGAUUUAGGCUUAUAGACUGGGCUUGAUGAAGAUGGGGCUUAUUAGUGGGUUUAGGCUUAUGGACUUGGGCUUGAUGGAUGGAUAUUAUUAUUAUUAUUAUUAUUAUUGUUAUUAUUAUUGUUAUCAUUGUUACAAUUAUUAUUAUUGUUAUUAUCAUUAUUAUUAUUAUUAUUAUCAUUAAUUCAAACUCUCAAAAUCUUAUUAUUAUUAUCAUUAAUUCAACUUUUAAAACCUUAUUAUUAUUAUUAUUAUUAUUAUUAUUAUUAUUAAUUCAACUCUCAAAAUCUUAUUAUUAUUAUUAUUAUCAAUUCAAACUUUCAAAAUCUUAUUAUUAUUAUUAUUAUCAUUAAUUCAAACUCUCAAAAUCUUAUUAUUAUUAUUAUUAUUAUUAUUAUAAUUAAUUCACACUUUCAAAAUCUUAUUAUAAUUAUUAUUAUCAUUAAUUCCAACUUUCGAAAUCUUAUUAUUAUUAUUAUUAUUAUUAUUAUUAUUAUUAUUAAUUCAAACUUUUAAAACCUUAUUACUAUCAUUAUUACAAAUUCAACUUUCAAAAGUCUAUGGUCUCGCAGUUCAAUUUCCUAAUGUCCGUUUCUCAUUUUCUUUAACAAAUUUCAAUUUAAUUACCAGAGCUCUAAUCUUUUAAAUUUAAUUCCAAAUAAACUCCAAUAAUCCAAUUUUCACUCGAAUAGUUUUAAUCCCAUUUCAGUUCCUAAAUAAUUUUCUAAUCUUCUUGAUUUUACCUAAGCAAUAGUGAUUCCUUCAUAAUUCUAAAAUACUGGAUUUGUGAUAUUAGCUCAUGAACAAUAAAUUGGGCUUUGUUGGGGGCCCUAUGUUUGAUCUCUAUUGAUUGUCAACUGUUGUGCUUAAUAUAUUUUUCUUAAUCUUCAUUUUGCACUCCGAUAUGCAUGAGCUAUAAUUUGUAUUCGUUAAUUGUGUACUAAUCUCAUUUCUUGAUAGCGCAUUGUGGCUCGUGGCCUAGGUACGCAUACACUCUUAUUCUGAUACUUCACUAUACAUGUUCCGAUUCUCAUAUGUGCAUGAUCAUUCAAGAUAUUCAUUGAUUUACUCAUCAACUGCCACAUCAGCUUCACUUUAUCAGUAGAGACCCGACUUUAGGGACUUAGAGGGGUGCUAUGGUCUUCACCGUACCUUCACGAUAAGUAACCUGACCCUCGAGCCUGAUCCGAUUUUUCGUAGAUCACCUUUUCCAAAACCAAGAGUCGCACUUAGGGUUUUUCUUUCUUAUUUUGUUUACCCUUUUAAAAAUAAAACAAAAAUAAGUGGCGACUCCAAGUCAUUUUUAAUCAACAAAUCAAUUUUUCAAAUAAAAAUCGAGCUCGCCAUUCCAGUGGGAAAUGCAUAAGCCGAAAUGCUGGGUCCACACCCCUACAUAAGAAAAUCUUUUCAAAUUUUAUUUUUGUUGCCACAUUUGACACUUGUUGAAAUCAUGUCUAUCUAUUUUUUUAGGAAUUAUAUACAAGAUGUAUGUGAUAAUUGAUGAUUCUGUAUACUUUGAUCACUUUUGCUAUGCUAAUUAGAUAACGAGCAUGCUAGGAUUUCUAUAUUUUAUUAUUUGUUAUCUAACCUCUCAUGUUUUAUGAAAGCACAUUACAAGUUAUCUAUGAUAUCCAGAUACGUUCCCUAAUACCCACUUUCUAAACCCUAGGAAUAUGAUUGUCAUUGCGUAUUAUGCCCAUGCUUGCUAUUCUGUUUGAUUGCCUUGAUAUAUAUUUGAUGCUUGUUUGAUUAUCUUUGACAAAUACACAUGUUGUGUGAUGUAUCUCUAUACUAACUCUUAUGUUUUAUGAUAGCGUUUGAGAAGCAGUCCAGGUAUGCACCCUAACUCUCCUUUAUUGUAAUUUGAUCCUAUUUGGCAUGUUAUUUUUUGAAAUCACCUUAAUCUAUCUAGGUAUCCCCAAUUAAUCAAUUAAUUGUCACAUCUCCCCCAAUUUAGUCAGUAGAGACUUUUAUAGGGCUUAGAGGGGUGCUACCUUUUAAAGGUACCUUCCUAAUAAGUAACCUGAUCCCCGGACUUAGACUCGGGUUUUUCAAAGACACGUUUUUCCAAAAAUUAUGGAGUCAUUUUUAGGGUUUUAUUUCUUGUUUUAUUUUCCCUUUAAAAUAAAAAUAAAAUAAGUGAUGACUCCAACUUUUUUUUCAAAAAUUAAUUUUUCACAAAUAAAUAAUAAAAAGAGAGUCUCGUCGAUCGAGUGGGGACGCACGUGAAAAAUGUGGGUCCAUAGCAAGUGGGUGUUUAAAAAGAAAAUGAGGAUCCUUCAUGUAGAAUCUAAAAGAUUCAAGGCAAGAUAGUUGCCAAAGGUUAUACACAAAGAGGAGUAGAUUUCAAUGAAAAUUUCUCACCUAUGAUAAAGCACAUUUCCAUUUGGGUAUUAGUUGCUUUGGUGUCAUUUUGGAAUCUUAAACUUGAGUAAAUGGAUGUUAAGAUGACAUUCUUUCGUGGAGAAUUAGUAAAUGAAAUUUUCAUGUAACAACUAAAGGGUUUUUCAGUUAAGAGAAAAGAAAACUAGGUUUAUUUGCUCAAGAGAUCGUUGUAUGGGCUAAAAUAGUCCCUAGGCAAUGGUAUAAAUGCUUUGACAAGUUCAUGACUAGUGUUGGAUACUCAAGGAGUAAGUUUGACAACUAUGUAUAGAUGAGAAGGCUGACAAAUGGGAGUUAUGUCUAUUUGUUAUUUUAUGCAGAUGAUAUACUAUUGGCAAGCAAGAACAUAACAAAGGUAACUCAUUUGAAGACAUAACUACAAUUUGAAUUUGAGAUGAAGGAUCUUAGAUGUGCUAAAAAGAUUUUGGGGAUGGAGCUGUACAAGAAUAGAUCUGUUGGUAUUCUGACAAUCUCCCAAAGAGAUUAUAUGAAGAAAGUGUUGAAAAGAUUUAACAUGGAUGCUGCAAAGGUGGUCGAUACACAAAUUCAAGCCCAUUCAAACUUUCUUCUAAUUUGUCACCAAAAACAGAAGAAGAAAUGCAAGAUAUGGCUAAUUUAUCAUAUGCUAAUGGCAUAGGAAGUAUUAUGUAUGUCAUGGUCUGCAUGAAACCUAACAUAGCCUAUGGUAUGAGUUUGUUUAGCCAUUAUAUGAGUAAUCUUGGAAAGGAUCAUUGGGAAACCCUAGAAUGGAUUUUGAGGUAUCUCAAGGGUACUGCAAAUUUUGGGUUCAUAUACCAAGGAGAGCAUAUAUCUCAACUGGUUUGGUUGAAGGUUAUGUGAAUUUAGAUUAUGCCAAGAACUUGGAUAGGAAAAGAUCAAUAACAAGUUAUUUGUUUACAGUGUGUGGCUGUACAGUAAGUUGGAAAUCUACAUCACAAAAUAUUGUGACUCUUUCUACCAUCAAAGCUGAGUAUGUAGCUAUUGUAGAAGCCACUAAAGAAGCUUUGUAGUUAAAAGGUCUAGUAUCUAAAUUAGGAAUGAAUCAGAAAAGUGCAACAGUUUUCUGUGAUAGCCAAAAUGCUAUUUGUUUGACAAAGAACCAAGGUUUCUAUGGGAGGACUAAACACAUAGAUGUGAGAUUGCACUUCUUAAGGAUAUAAUGGAACAAGUACUGAUGAAUGUCAGGAAAAUUUCAACUAUGGAUAAUCCAACGGAUAUGCUUAUAAAACCAAUUCCAAAGGUCAAGUUUAAGCAAUGCUUAAACUUGAUCAAUGUUGGAUUUCUAUGAUUGUAACAACAAGAGGUAAAGGGAAAUCAAUCCGAGCUGAACUUGGUUUUCUUAUUUUGGUGCUAAGGUGGAGAUUUUUGUGAUGUGAUACAAAAUAUAUAAGCCAAGCACGUGAGUUAGUCUAUUUGUGUGGCAACCCUCUCAGAAUAAUAUAUACACAUGACAGUUUAUUUCUUUUACCUUCCAGCUGGAAGGUUGUUAUGUGAGUUUUUAAUCGGUAUGAUGACGGUGUAUGCAAGCACACUUCUAAGCCGAAAAGGAGUUGUAAAAGGGUUGUGUGUGUGCUGAAAGGGCUGUGUGUUGUAAUUUUCUCAGUUUUUCUCUCAGAUGGAUUGGUUCUUCUAUUGCUCCCCUGGAUGUAAGCUUGAACAAGCUGAACCACGUUAAAUCUUGUGAUGAUGCUCUUCAUCCUUUGUUUUUCUUCUCAUUAGAUCAUUGAUUGUUUGUUUCUUGAGAAGCAUUAUUUUUCUUGCUGUUUUAAUGGAAAUGGUUAUUGUACGUGAUACUGCUGUAUGUGGCCGUCCUAAUGUGGCAAAGAUGAGUGUGGAAACAGCCCAGAGUUGGAAAGCAGAGGUAGUCGUCGUCACCAGUAAUCCUCAUGGAAGCAGAGACGUUAUUGGUGCCUGGAGGGCCGCUGGACUUACAGCCUUUGGACCUAUAUGGGAUUCCUAGAAUUUUGUUGCAGAACCUAAUCUAUAUUGAAUCUGGUUCUUCCGUAUGUUAUGUGUGUAUCUCUGCUGACAUUCUACACGUAGCAUGCAUCAACUUGUACGGCAUUCGCAAUAGGCAAUAAGAAUAACUCUAGUAAAUAGUAUCGCCGAAAGGAUCAUCUACGAUUAUAGAUUGGCCUCCAAAUGGAUGCCCCUUUCACACGAAUAAAAUAGUUCUUUAUGUUCCUUUCGGUGGUUGAAGCUAUGGAAGGAAAUUGCUCAAUUCUAAAAUACAGAGAGUCAGAAUUGACGUCAACCUCACUACGGCAGUCGUUAGAUUGGAGAAAUGUUAGUUUAACUCUUUGUCAGUAGCCUUUGGAUUUUGUUCAGAUAUACAGCUGAAUUUUAUGCUACCUUUCUAUCUUAUGAGACAGCGUCUUCUUGGUAUUGCCCUUCCAAUAAUGGUUCCUAGCAUUCUUCCAUCUCCAUUAGGUCGAGAAAUUAGAGAUGUACGUACCUCCGAGAAUACUCAAAAUCUAAUUACAUUAUUAAAUAACAAAGUCACAUUCAUCACGACAUAGUUUUCGAACAUGUACACUUGGUCUGGUAGUGUAUUAGACUUGGUGUCUUUCUUCUGUAUGUCUUGAACACUGGACACACAUUCUUGACCAUAUCUUAUAACUUUAGGAGUAGGUUGAAAGCCAAAGAAAAUCAAGUAUUAAUUUAUGGUUAUGAAGUUAGGAGUCCCAAAUAGGACCAAAGGCAGGAAUUCCUGCAUCCUUACAAGCAUUGACUACGUCCCUGCUCCCUUGAGGAUUGCUGGUAACAAUCACUACUUGAGCACCCCAAUUCUUAGCAGUAUCUACGCUCAACUGAGCAAUAUCGGGUCGACCAGACACAGCUGUGUCAUGGACAAUGACCUUAUCUUUGGGAUACCUAUUCACUAUCUCUUUAAUUUCCCUUCCAAAGUUGUGCUCAAUCCCCUUAGCCACCCAAACUAAACACACGUCAGCUGAACAUGGCUGCAAGAGGAAUGAGAGAAAUACACAAAUGCCCGAACCUGUAGCCACCAUCAUGACCUUGUCAUACAUGUUGAUGAGAUAGGGCAGCCCAGCAAAGUGCACCUGCCGAACCCACAAGUGGCUUGGCGGGUCUGAAACCAGUGACUUUGUGAAGUCGCCAACAGCUCCAGCAAGCAUCAUGUGCUCUGUUUUACCAUCAGAAAUGAUGCCGAAGGCAUGCCACUCGGAUAAAGGGGAUCGACUAAUCCUUCCCAAUAUACCCGCUUUCACUCCUCCCUCGAACUUUAUAAUGGAGGCAUGGCCUGAAGGCGCACUGACUUUGACUGGUACUCGUCUCACUGUCACCCAUGGAAUAAUUAUGAGUGCGGUGAUGGCUAAUGUAGACCAGAACUCCUGUUGUUUCAUCAGCCUAGAGCCGAGUUGAUUGCUGUAGGACUUUGACU
rnacentral:lncRNA from 1 species